rnacentral:rRNA from 1 species
GGGGAGCGAACAGGAUUAGAUACCCUGGUAGUCCACGCCGUAAACGAUGAUCACUCGCUGUUAGCGAUACACAGUUAGCGGCUAAGCAAAAGCAUUAAGUGAUCCACCUGGGGAGUACGGCCGCAAGGCUGAAACUCAAAGGAAUUGACGGGGGCCCGCACAAGCGGAGGAACAUGUGGUUUAAUUCGAUGAUACGCGAGGAACCUUACCUGGGCUUAAAUGUAGAGUGCAUGAAGUAGAAAUAUUUCUUUCCUUCGGGACUCUUUGCAAGGUGCUGCAUGGUUGUCGUCAGCUCGUGCCGUGAGGUGUCGGGUUAAGUCCCAUAACGAGCGCAACCCUUAUCGUUAGUUGCCAGCGGGUAAUGCCGGGAACUCUAACGAAACUGCCGGUGUAAACCGUGAGGAAGGUGGGGAUGACGUCAAAUCAGCACGGCCCUUAUGUCCAGGGCUACACACGUGUUACAAUGGCCGGUACAGAGGGCAGCUACCUGGAGACAGGAUGCGAAUCUCCAAAGCCGGUCUCAGUUCGGAUCGGAGUCUGCAACUCGACUCCGUGAAGCUGGAUUCGCUAGUAAUCGCGCAUCAGCCAUGGCGCGGUGAAUACGUUCCCGGGCCUUGUACACACCGCCCGUCAAGCCAUGGAAGUUGGGGGUACCUGAAGUCCGUAACCGUAAGGAGCGGCCUAGGGUAAAACUAGUGACUGGGG